ACACACGCACGCACCCACCCCACCCGGCUGCCGGACGCAAGCGUAAGUCAAGGACUUGCAUGCUAGAAUCAGACAGAAAAUCCAGAAAAGCCACGUUAUUUAACAGAACCCUACAAGGUCAGCUUUGAGUCAAAGCAGGUGAUACUGACUUCAUAAUAUAAGCUGGACGGAGCCCUGACAGCAAUGUUUGCUACGGCCUCCCUCUGCAGUCAGCCUAAAGCAAGGAGCUGGAGGUAGAUGAGGCAAAGGUAAAGGAGACCAAAACAGUAUUUUAAAGAAAAAAUCAUUUAUCUUCAAAUAGGCUCCAAACCUAAGGUAA
rnacentral:lncRNA from 1 species